rnacentral:rRNA from 1 species
UUAGCCGGCCAUAGCGUGUGGGUCCGACCUAGUCUCAUUCCGAACCUAGAAGUCAAACCACACGUCGUCACCAUGUUAGUGAGGUGCGAGAGCUCUCGCGAAGUGGUGAUGUCGGCACCU